ACUGACGAACCAGGAUACCAAAAACAUCCGCGAAGUGCUCAUUGAGUGCGCCAGAUUGAUCAAAAUACGUAAGGUUGCUGGUGAAGGACUGCACGCCGUGCGUUAAUUCAUGACCGACAACAUCGAGUGAUUGCGUAAACCGCCGAAAUAGUCUCCCAUCACCAUCGCCGUAGGCCAUUUGCUCUCCGUUCCAGAAGGCAUUGUUCAUCGGCACGAACUGCCCUGUGUCAUCGGCUUCGCCGACGUGGACAGACGAAAUCAGCGUCAUCCCGUUGCCGUCCAGCGAAUUUCGCUGAAAUAGCUUUUCAUAAAAAUCGUAGGUAUCACCCGAGAAGUCAAACGCCUCAUUCGUGGCAGCGUCAGCAACUUUGGCUUGUCCCUCUGACCGAGCUAGUUUG
rnacentral:misc_RNA from 1 species